GGUCAAGAGCGCCAGUGCAAAACCCCGGUUUGCUGGCCGGCAACCCUCGUGUUCGCGGUGGGGUGCCCCGGGUGAAGACCUGGUUCCGCCAGCGCAGAUGAACUGGCGGGGCAAGCGCGGG
rnacentral:ncRNA from 1 species